CAAAUACUCCCUCCGUCCGGAAAUACUCGUCAUCAAAAUGGAUAAAAGGAAAUGUAUCUAGACGUAUUUUAGUUUUAGAUACAUCUCUUUUUAUCCAUUUUGAUGACAAGUAUUUUCGGACGGAGGGAGUAGAAA
rnacentral:pre_miRNA from 1 species